rnacentral:rRNA from 1 species
UACGGGGGGGGUAAGCGUUGUUCGGAAUUACUGGGCGUAAAGGGCUCGUAGGCGGCCAACUAAGUCAGACGUGAAAUCCCUCGGCUUAACCGGGGAACUGCGUCUGAUACUGGAUGGCUAGAGAUUGGGAGAGGGAUGCGGAAUUCCAGGUGUAGCGGUGAAAUGCGUAGAUAUCUGGAGGAACACCGGUGGCGAAGGCGGCAUCCUGGACCAACACUGACGCUGAGGAGCGAAAGCCAGGGGAGCAAACGGG